UUGCUUGCUGUAUUUUAAUAUAUGCAGUGAAAAUGCAUGAAAAGCUGAAGAAUUACAGCAAUCCAGUAAUUCAUGUCAUGUUCCAUUCAGAAUUACAGCUUUCCAGUGCCAGCUCAAACACCGAGGAAUCCCUGCCACCAUAAAACUAUAAUUGCUGAAUUAAUAACAGCGGGUUCUGGAGAGUGACUGCACAGACUCUCUGACCCAGGAACAAAUUCUGCAGCUGGUGCUUCGCUAAAUACUGUGCCUCAUGGCCCCCACAGCUAUGAUGCUCCUCAGGACUGGGAUAAAGGAAUGCUCUUUAAACAGGAUAAUGGCUCGCGUCUAAAAAUAGUAGCAAAAGUGGAGAGAAGGAAAAACAUACGUCCACAGAUCACAAGCAGAAAAGUAGAUAUUUUGAAAUACUUUGAUGGUAACAAGAAUGUUGUCUCCUUUCCAAUGUCAUUUUUUUUUUUUUAAAGCUCAGUAGGCAGCGAAAUGAAAUGUUUUACGGUUUUAUCAAGUGCAGCAAAGUCACUGCUAUUAUACUUGCAAUUUUAUGACCUGGUAAACAGAAACCUUUGUGCAUAAGGGUCUGAGUGUCAGCGGUGUAGAAAACUGAUGAUUACGCUGCCUUGUGAAAUGGGAGCUCCUUCAUAGGGAACGCGUGCUACCUGAAGCAGCAACACCUGAUAUUUGCCCUUGUGGAGCGUGACCCUGUGGCCAACACUUACAGUGAGACUGAGAGGGAGGAUAACCGCUGGGGCAGUAAAACUGUUGAUAGAUUUCUGUAUUUCAGCUGGGGCUAUACGGAGUAUAUAUUGCCACUUGAAGUGCAGUGUUCCUCCCUGAGCUUUCGUGGUGGGUAUAUUUGGCUGCCUGCAGGAGGAGAGCACGGCGGCUGAGGGUUUGCAGAGAGCAGGAGGUGGCCGUUGUCUGCUGUUCCUGCUGGGUCUUUGUUGCACGUGUUACUGGCGCAUUUGCUUUCAGUCAUUAGAACAUUUAAUUUGCUGCAGCUGUAAUUUAUAUUUGUAAUUUUGUCUGAGAUCAAUAAAAUAAACCAAAGAGAUUUAUAGCCCUACUUUCAACUAAGAUAAAUUGAAGCAGGCUGUUUCCCUGAAAAGCUGUAUUUAAACGGCAUUUUAAAAGAACCAAAUGAGAUGGGAUAUUUGCAUGCAAGUAUGGAUAAACAACCCAUAGUGUGUGGAAGAAAUACAGGGAGGGGUGAAACACGGUCAGUGCAGGACUCUGAAAUAAAGUUGCAGGAAACGUGACUGUAGAGCAGGGUCUGAUAGCAGACAAGUAACCAUUUGAGAAUGUAGAUUUUCUUCACAGCAACUGGUGAGGAGCUGGUGAGGAGUGAGGCAGGUAAUCCUUGAAGUCCUGGAACACAAAGACAACACGAUUCUGGUCAUUUGGGAGGUACUUAGUCAGGCCCUUCCCUUUCUCCUUUCUCCUUUCCUCUUCCCUUCCUCCUUCCCUCCCUUUUCCUCCCAUUU